UACGAAGGGGGCUAGCGUUGCUCGGAAUCACUGGGCGUAAAGGGUGCGUAGGCGGGUCUUUAAGUCAGGGGUGAAAUCCUGGAGCUCAACUCCAGAACUGCCUUUGAUACUGGCGAGCUUGAGUCCGGGAGAGGUGAGUGGAACUGCGAGUGUAGAGGUGAAAUUCGUAGAUAUUCGCAAGAACACCAGUGGCGAAGGCGGCUCACUGGCCCGGUACUGACGCUGAGGUGCGAAAGCGUGGGAGCAAACAGGG
rnacentral:rRNA from 1 species